AUUGAACGCUGGCGGCAUGCUUUACACAUGCAAGUCGAACGGUAACAGGCCGCAAGGUGCUGUCGAGUGGCGGACGGGUGCGUAAUGCAUCGGAACGUGCCCAGUCGUGGGGGAUAACUACUCGAAAGAGUAGCUAAUACCGCAUACGAUCUAUUGAUGAAAGCGGGGGACCGUAAGGCCUCGCGCGAUUGGAGCGGCCGAUUUCAGAUUAGGUCGUUGGUGGGGUAAAGGCUCACCAAGCCAACGAUCUGUAGCUGGUCUGAGAGGAGGACCAGCCACACUGGGACUGAGAAACGGCCCAGACUCCUAGGGGAGGCAGAAGUGGGGAAUUUUGGACAAUGGGCGAAAGCAUGAUCCAGAAAUGCGGGGGGCAGGAAGAAGGCCUUCGGGUUGUAAACUGCUUUUGUAGGGAACGAAACGGCUCUGGUUAAUACCCGGGGCUAAGGACGGUACCGUAAGAAUAGCACCGGCUAACUACGUG
rnacentral:rRNA from 1 species